rnacentral:lncRNA from 1 species
GAGACCUUCUAUGGGUGUUGGGGCUGCUGGUUUGGAUGCUCUAGGGACCUUAGGGGAGGCCUCUUUAAAUCAGCACAAAGAUUGAAUCCUAUUCAAUCUCAUAAUACAAGUCCUACUUGUAUUGGGCUCCCUAUUAACUUAAGUUAUCCAACUUACUUUAGGAGACCCUUUAGGCACCAAUAAUUGGAGCCCUUGUACCUAUAAUUAGACACCCCA